rnacentral:rRNA from 1 species
UACGUAGGGUGCGAGCGUUGUCCGGAAUUAUUGGGCGUAAAGGGCUCGUAGGCGGUUUGUUGCGUCGGGAGUGAAAACCUUGGGCUUAACUCAGGGCUUGCUUUCGAUACGGGCAGACUAGAGGUAUGCAGGGGAGAACGGAAUUCCUGGUGUAGCGGUGAAAUGCGCAGAUAUCAGGAGGAACACCGGUGGCGAAGGCGGUUCUCUGGGCAUGAUCUGACGCUGAGGAGCGAAAGUGUGGGGAGCGAACAGG